rnacentral:rRNA from 1 species
UACGUAGGGGGCAAGCGUUGUCCGGAUUUACUGGGCGUAAAGAGCGUGUAGGCGGCCAAGCAGGUCCGUUGUGAAAACUGGAGGCUUAACCUCCAGACGUCGACGGAAACCGCGUGGCUAGAGUCCGGAAGAGGAGAGUGGAAUUCCUGGUGUAGCGGUGAAAUGCGCAGAUAUCAGGAAGAACACCAAUGGCGAAAGCAGCUCGCUGGGACGUUACUGACGCUGAGGAGCGAAAGCGUGGGGAGCGAACAGG